GGAGGGGGAAAUGCAUAACGUGGAGGGAGAGUCCUGUCCUGUCAGCAAAGGGGAAACGCUGUCCUUCCUUGGUCUUAUAUUGAUGGUUAUCAGUGACAUAGUUACUACUACAAUCAUUUCAUAAAGGCCAUUGACACGCUAACACGUCUUGGAAAAUGGUGACUCAGAACGUUUCCUAGGCUCCCCUCUCAAGAACAGCUCUCUUUUUUGGACUCCUGCUGCAAUAUCCCCAUAGUUCUUGUUCUCGUAUCUUUUUUGGUGCCACACUGCUUGGAUCAAACUGGAUUUUGCUGCUUCUCUUGGCAAAAAAGGCCUGCUCUCUCUAAAGGGGUUAUUUCCUAACCCCAAACCCAUCCAGAGCCCAUACCCUUCAUCCUCCCUACGACCUCAUGUUGCUGAGGUCCCAAUCACAACAAAAACAAAUCCAUCAAACCUCAAUUUGGACCAGCCACGUUUCAAGCACUCAAUAGCCGCAUGUGCCUAGCGGAUACCACGUUGGACGGCACAGCUCUAGGUAUCGAGAUCUUACUCACUUCGUCUUCCCUCCCUGAAGUGGAUCUACUUAUAUAACCGGGAAGAGGAUAUUGCUGACUCGUUGAAAGCCAAUACUUUGGUGCUCAGGGCAUUUUUAUCCGUGGCCAAGAACGUAGAUUACGGACUCUCACAAACGUGAGGAAAUCGUCAUGGGAUCAUGCCAGGAAAGGAGGCUUGGGAAAGGACAUCUCUGACUUCUUGAAAAAUUGAGUGUGUCUACAUUUGUCCUGGCUCUCAUUUAGUUUCAAAUACAAGGAGAUUUAGAUUCAAAAUAGCUUCUUAAUUUGCUUUCUUUCUUCACGUGGUCAAUACACGUGAAAGUAGACUCAUGAGGAGAAAAUCAUUCUCAGUUAUCUCAAUUUCUACGGGAUGUUGUGAAGAUAAUAAACAUUUUUGAUAAG
rnacentral:lncRNA from 1 species